CCUACGGGGGGCUGCAGUGAGGAAUAUUGGUCAAUGGGCGGAAGCCUGAACCAGCCAAGUCGCGUGAGGGAUUAAGGCCCUGCGGGUCGUAAACCUCUUUUGCCGGGGAGCAGUGGUCCGGACGCGUCCGGACCGGGAGAGUACCCGGAGAAAAAGCAUCGGCUAACUCCGUGCCAGCAGCCGCGGUAAUACGGAGGAUGCGAGCGUUAUCCGGUUUUAUUUGGUUUAAAGGGUUCGUAGGCGGGAAUUUAAGCCGGCGGUCAAAUGUCGGGGCUCAACCCCGGCCUGCCGUCGGACCUGGGGGCCGUGAGUGGGUGAGAAGUAGGCGGAAUGCGUGGGGUAGCGGUGAAAUGCAUAGAUAUCACGCAGAACCCCGAUUGCGAAGGCAGCAUACCGGCGCCCUACUGACGCUGAGGCACGAAAGUGCGGGUAUCGAACAGGAUUAGAUACCCGGGUAGUC
rnacentral:rRNA from 1 species